AACGAACGCUGGCGGCAUGCCUAACACAUGCAAGUCGAACGAGACCUUCGGGUCUAGUGUCGCACGGGUGCGUAACGCGUGGGAACCUGCCCUUAGGUUCGGAAUAACUCCCCGAAAGGGGUGCUAAUACCGGAUAAUGUCUUCGGACCAAAGAUUUAUCGCCUUUGGAUGGGCCCGCGUUGGAUUAGCUAGUUGGUAGGGUAAAAGCCUACCAAGGCGACUAUCCAUAGCUGGUCUGAGAGGAUGAUCAGCCACACUGGGACUGAGACACGGCCCAGACUCCGACGGGAGGCAGCAGUGGGGAAUAUUGGACCACGGGCGAAAGCAUGAUCCAGCAAUGCCGAGUGAGUGAUGAAGGCCUUAGGGUUGUAAAGCUCUUUUAACCGGGAUGAUAAUGACAGUACCGGGAGAAUAGGCUCCGGCUAAAUCCA
rnacentral:rRNA from 1 species